AGUGAAGUUUAGCCAACUUAUGAAUUACUUCAUUGACUUUACUGGUUUAAUGAGUGGAUGAUAAUUAGGUUAUGAUAAUUAGGAUAAUAAAUGGAACCGUAUAGUCUUCAGCAUGCCUCAAAUAACCUCUCUGAGUGUAGUUAAAGGUCUCUAGUUAAAGUAUAGUUAAAGGUCAGCCGGUAAAGUAAAGUUAAAUGUCUCUAGUUAAAGGUCUCUAGUUAAAGUAUAGUUAAAGGUCUCUAGUUCAAGUAGAGUUAAAGGUCUCUGGUUAAAGUAUAGCUAAAGGUCUCUAGUUCAAGUAAAGUUAAAGGUAUCUGGUUAAAGUAGAGUUAAAGUAUAGUAAAAUGUCUCUAGUUAAGUUAAAGGUCUCUAGUUAAAGUAAGGUCAAUGAUCUCUGAUUAAAGUAUAGUUUAAGGGUCUCGUAAGGUCUCUUCACUUCUUCUUCUGGACAGUGAAGUCAUGGCACGGGCCGG
ensembl:lncRNA